GGGUUGUGAGGUUAAGCGACUAAGCGUACACGGUGGAUGCCCUGGCAGUCAGAGGCGAUGAAGGACGUGCUAAUCUGCGAUAAGCGUCGGUAAGGUGAUAUGAACCGUUAUAACCGGCGAUUUCCGAAUGGGGAAACCCAGUGUGUUUCGACACACUAUCAUUAACUGAAUCCAUAGGUUAAUGAGGCGAACCGGGGGAACUGAAACAUCUAAGUACCCCGAGGAAAAGAAAUCAACCGAGAUUCCCCCAGUAGCGGCGAGCGAACGGGGAGCAGCCCAGAGCCUGAAUCAGUGUGUGUGUUAGUGGAAGCGUCUGGAAAGGCGCGCGAUACAGGGUGACAGCCCCGUACACAAAAAUGCACAUGCUGUGAGCUCGAUGAGUAGGGCGGGACACGUGGUAUCCUGUCUGAAUAUGGGGGGACCAUCCUCCAAGGCUAAAUACUCCUGACUGACCGAUAGUGAACCAGUACCGUGAGGGAAAGGCGAAAAGAACCCCGGCGAGGGGAGUGAAAAAGAACCUGAAACCGUGUACGUACAAGCAGUGGGAGCACGCUUAGGCGUGUGACUGCGUACCUUUUGUAUAAUGGGUCAGCGACUUAUAUUCUGUAGCAAGGUUAACCGAAUAGGGGAGCCGAAGGGAAACCGAGUCUUAACUGGGCGUUAAGUUGCAGGGUAUAGACCCGAAACCCGGUGAUCUAGCCAUGGGCAGGUUGAAGGUUGGGUAACACUAACUGGAGGACCGAACCGACUAAUGUUGAAAAAUUAGCGGAUGACUUGUGGCUGGGGGUGAAAGGCCAAUCAAACCGGGAGAUAGCUGGUUCUCCCCGAAAGCUAUUUAGGUAGCGCCUCGUGAAUUCAUCUCCGGGGGUAGAGCACUGUUUCGGCAAGGGGGUCAUCCCGACUUACCAACCCGAUGCAAACUGCGAAUACCGGAGAAUGUUAUCACGGGAGACACACGGCGGGUGCUAACGUCCGUCGUGAAGAGGGAAACAACCCAGACCGCCAGCUAAGGUCCCAAAGUCAUGGUUAAGUGGGAAACGAUGUGGGAAGGCCCAGACAGCCAGGAUGUUGGCUUAGAAGCAGCCAUCAUUUAAAGAAAGCGUAAUAGCUCACUGGUCGAGUCGGCCUGCGCGGAAGAUGUAACGGGGCUAAACCAUGCACCGAAGCUGCGGCAGCGACGCUGAUGCGUUGUUGGGUAGGGGAGCGUUCUGUAAGCCUGCGAAGGUGUGCUGUGAGGCAUGCUGGAGGUAUCAGAAGUGCGAAUGCUGACAUAAGUAACGAUAAAGCGGGUGAAAAGCCCGCUCGCCGGAAGACCAAGGGUUCCUGUCCAACGUUAAUCGGGGCAGGGUGAGUCGACCCCUAAGGCGAGGCCGAAAGGCGUAGUCGAUGGGAAACAGGUUAAUAUUCCUGUACUUGGUGUUACUGCGAAGGGGGGACGGAGAAGGCUAUGUUGGCCGGGCGACGGUUGUCCCGGUUUAAGCGUGUAGGCUGGUUUUCCAGGCAAAUCCGGAAAAUCAAGGCUGAGGCGUGAUGACGAGGCACUACGGUGCUGAAGCAACAAAUGCCCUGCUUCCAGGAAAAGCCUCUAAGCAUCAGGUAACAUCAAAUCGUACCCCAAACCGACACAGGUGGUCAGGUAGAGAAUACCAAGGCGCUUGAGAGAACUCGGGUGAAGGAACUAGGCAAAAUGGUGCCGUAACUUCGGGAGAAGGCACGCUGAUAUGUAGGUGAGGUCCCUCGCGGAUGGAGCUGAAAUCAGUCGAAGAUACCAGCUGGCUGCAACUGUUUAUUAAAAACACAGCACUGUGCAAACACGAAAGUGGACGUAUACGGUGUGACGCCUGCCCGGUGCCGGAAGGUUAAUUGAUGGGGUUAGCGCAAGCGAAGCUCUUGAUCGAAGCCCCGGUAAACGGCGGCCGUAACUAUAACGGUCCUAAGGUAGCGAAAUUCCUUGUCGGGUAAGUUCCGACCUGCACGAAUGGCGUAAUGAUGGCCAGGCUGUCUCCACCCGAGACUCAGUGAAAUUGAACUCGCUGUGAAGAUGCAGUGUACCCGCGGCAAGACGGAAAGACCCCGUGAACCUUUACUAUAGCUUGACACUGAACAUUGAGCCUUGAUGUGUAGGAUAGGUGGGAGGCUUUGAAGUGUGGACGCCAGUCUGCAUGGAGCCGACCUUGAAAUACCACCCUUUAAUGUUUGAUGUUCUAACGUUGACCCGUAAUCCGGGUUGCGGACAGUGUCUGGUGGGUAGUUUGACUGGGGCGGUCUCCUCCUAAAGAGUAACGGAGGAGCACGAAGGUUGGCUAAUCCUGGUCGGACAUCAGGAGGUUAGUGCAAUGGCAUAAGCCAGCUUGACUGCGAGCGUGACGGCGCGAGCAGGUGCGAAAGCAGGUCAUAGUGAUCCGGUGGUUCUGAAUGGAAGGGCCAUCGCUCAACGGAUAAAAGGUACUCCGGGGAUAACAGGCUGAUACCGCCCAAGAGUUCAUAUCGACGGCGGUGUUUGGCACCUCGAUGUCGGCUCAUCACAUCCUGGGGCUGAAGUAGGUCCCAAGGGUAUGGCUGUUCGCCAUUUAAAGUGGUACGCGAGCUGGGUUUAGAACGUCGUGAGACAGUUCGGUCCCUAUCUGCCGUGGGCGCUGGAGAACUGAGGGGGGCUGCUCCUAGUACGAGAGGACCGGAGUGGACGCAUCACUGGUGUUCGGGUUGUCAUGCCAAUGGCACUGCCCGGUAGCUAAAUGCGGAAGAGAUAAGUGCUGAAAGCAUCUAAGCACGAAACUUGCCCCGAGAUGAGUUCUCCCUGACUCCUUGAGGGUCCUGAAGGAACGUUGAAGACGACGACGUUGAUAGGCCGGGUGUGUAAGCGCAGCGAUGCGUUGAGCUAACCGGUACUAAUGAACCGUGAGGCUUAACCUUACAACGCCGAAGCUGUU
rnacentral:rRNA from 1 species